GAAAGAAGAACAUAUAAGGAUAGCCAAGGAGACUGCCUGAUGUCUUUUUAUAAGCAAAAUGUCAUUCUUGAUAUAACUUGUAGUCACAUCAAACAUGACACCAACCAUUUUGUUCAAAGAAACAGGCAAGUCAUCCUUGGCUACCAAAUGUGGUUCUCUUAUUC
rfam:Arabidopsis lyrata subsp. lyrata unplaced genomic scaffold ARALYscaffold_5, whole genome shotgun sequence.